AUUGAACGCUGGCGGCAUGCCUUACACAUGCAAGUCGAACGGCAACGGGCCUUCGGGUGCAGACGAGUGGUGAACGGGUGAGUAAUGUAUCGGAACGUACCUUUCAGUGGGGGAUAACGUAGCGAAAGUUACGCUAAUACCGCAUAUUCUGUGAGCAGGAAAGCAGGGGAUCGCAAGACCUUGCGCUGAUUGAGCGGCCGAUAUCAGAUUAGCUAGUUGGUGAGGUAAAGGCUCACCAAGGCGACGAUCUGUAGCGGGUCUGAGAGGAUGAUCCGCCACACUGGAACUGAGACACGGUCCAGACUCCUACGGGAGGCAGCAGUGGGGAAUUUUGGACAAUGGGGGCAACCCUGAUCCAGCCAUGCCGCGUGAGUGAAGAAGGCCUUCGGGUUGUAAAGCUCUUUCGGCCGGGAAGAAAUCGUAUCAGCUAAUACCUGGUGCGGAUGACGGUACCGGCACAAGAAGCACCGGCUAACUACGUGCCAGCCGCCGCCGUAAUAC
rnacentral:rRNA from 1 species